rnacentral:rRNA from 1 species
CGAUGCGAUCAUACCAGCCUAAGCACCGGCAUCCCAUCAGAACUCCGAAGUUAAGCGUGCUUGGGCGAGAUGUACUAGGAUGGCGUGACCCCGUGGAGUCCUCGUGUUGCAUCCC